GCACAAGAAGAGCGUUGUUGUUGUUGGGAUUAUAUUAAGACUGGUAAAGAGUUUCCAGUGGGUUUCAGAGGAUACAGGAUACAGACAGUAGAACACUAACCAAUGUUGUCACAUGGAGGCUUACAAGGUCUUCAGCAACCAGAACCCAGGAGGCCAAGAGCAAAGGAUCCCAAAAUAUCUGAGAGAUGCAAGUCGCCUGGCAGAAACUCUCCACCAUGAAGCGUCUCUGGGGUCCCCACAUAAAGGCCCCUCCGCCUGACCCCUCUCUGCAACACCACCAAGGUCAUCCCCACAGCCAGGCCCGGUCAAACCGAGGCAGGUGCUGCCGUUCCCCGGUCCCUGCAUCUCUUAGUAUGCGGUUGGUUGUAAAGGUUUACCUUAUGGAGAUGUUUCCAGCAGAUGUCCACAUUGCACAUGCAAGAGUAUGUUGGGUACAACAUGAAACUGCUGCUGCGCACGUCAUGCAACAGGUUGUUGCUAGGUGUCCACAGACUUCAACACCUGCUUCUUCUGCACCGAUCAAUCAAAAGAUCUUGUAAUAAUUCCUGUGACGUACACGGCCCGCCUACCUCCAUGUACGG